rnacentral:rRNA from 1 species
AGUGAACGCUGGCGGUAGGCCUAACACAUGCAAGUCGAACGGCAGCACAGUAAGAGCUUGCUCUUACGGGUGGCGAGUGGCGGACGGGUGAGGAAUACAUCGGAAUCUACUUUUUCGUGGGGGAUAACGUAGGGAAACUUACGCUAAUACCGCAUACGACCUACGGGUGAAAGCAGGGGAUCUUCGGACCUUGCGCGAUUGAAUGAGCCGAUGUCGGAUUAGCUAGUUGGCGGGGUAAAGGCCCACCAAGGCGACGAUCCGUAGCUGGUCUGAGAGGAUGAUCAGCCACACUGGAACUGAGACAAGGUCCAGACUCCUACGGGAGGCAGCAGUGGGGAAUAUUGGACAAUGGGCGAAAGCCUGAUCCAGCCAUACCGCGUGGGUGAAGAAGGCCUUCGGGUUGUAAAGCCCUUUUGUUGGGAAAGAAAAGCAGCAGGUUAAUACCCCGCUGUUCUGACGGUACCCAAAGAAUAAGCACCGGCUAACUUCGUG